rnacentral:rRNA from 1 species
AUUGAACGCUGGCGGCAUGCCUUACACAUGCAAGUCGAACGGCAGCACGGGAGCAAUCCUGGUGGCGAGUGGCGAACGGGUGAGUAAUAUAUCGGAACGUGCCCAGUCGUGGGGAUAACGUAGCGAAAGCUACGCUAAUACCGCAUACGAUCUAUGGAUGAAAGCGGGGGAUCGCAAGACCUCGCGCGAUUGGAGCGGCCGAUAUCAGAUUAGGUAGUUGGUGAGGUAAAGGCUCACCAAAGCCGACGAUCUGUAGCUGGUCUGAGAGGACGACCAGCCACACUGGGACUGAGACACGGCCCAGACUCCUACGGAGGCAGCAGUGGGAAUUUUUGGACAAUGGGCGCAAGCCUGAUCCAGCAAUGCCGCGUGCAGGAUGAAGGCCUUCGGUUGUAAC